rnacentral:misc_RNA from 1 species
UUUCCGCAGGUGAACCUGCGGAAGGAUCAUACAGUGUUCCCUGCCCUUCGGGGUAGGAUCGCCACCCUUGAUUAUUUAUGAGUGUUGCUUUGGCGGGCCUCGCGGCCUGGCCGCGCCCCGGCUUCGGCGGGGGAGCGCCCGCCAGAGGAUUCUACAAACCUGAUUAUUAGUGUCGUCUGAGUACUAUAUAAUAGUUAAAACUUUCAACAACGGAUCUCUUGGUUCUG